rnacentral:misc_RNA from 1 species
GCUGACUUUCAUGGGGGUUGCCACCACCAGUGGAGCUUCUGGGGAGUCACUAACUGCGUAAUUGUCAUGCAUGAAUCGACUUUCGACUAUGGACUCGUCCUUCAACACAAUCUUAUAACAAUAACAGCUCUUAAGGCCUCGCUGAUUCCGGUAGCAUUCAUGUGCACUAUUCUUCACCUGCUGAAAAUCCCAUAUCACACUGAACUUGCCCACUGUGGCGACUAGGUGUCUUUCUUGUUUGCCAUUCUCAGUGACCCAUGAGAAAUGACCACCAUGAAAUUUAUUAUUCACACCAGCCAAGUGUGAAUCCAGAGGAGUCAGCUUCAACAAUCUCGGAGCUGGUAUCUUAUUUCCCAUUCGACCACUAAAUCCAGUCUUAGUCUUGCCAUCUUUAUCCGUAAACAGAGUGCAAAUAAGGAUCAAAUAUGUGUCCGUUGUCCCCAAUACCCACUUCCCGUCAUAUGUAACAUCCACAUGAGUAAUAGGCGAGCCAAGCCCAGGAAAAGCUGUCUUAGCCUGCCUCAUUGAUGUCCUCGAAUACAACCUAAUCUUGCCAUCAAGUGAUCCAACAACAAUAGAUCCAUCACCUGUACUCGCAAAGCAUUGAAAAUUAGUCCCUCUUGAGAACUGAUGCCCCUGACUCCAAUGCAAAACUGG